AGAAAGAUAAGCUAAGAUAAGCUAGUGGGCUCAUACCCCGCAUAUGAAGAUUACUCUUCUUUUUCUA
rnacentral:tRNA from 1 species